UCGCAUCGAUGAAGAACGCAGCGAAAUGCGAUAAGUAAUGUGAAUUGCAGAAUUCAGUGAAUCAUCGAAUCUUUGAACGCACCUUGCGCCCCUUGGUAUUCUGAGGAGCAUGCCUGUUUGAGUGUCAUGAAAAUUCUCAACUGCUUCAACUUUUUU
rnacentral:rRNA from 1 species